AGUAACUCCUCACGAGUGUGAAACCUCUGCGAGAAAUCUGCCGAUUUUUCGCAGAGGUUUC
rfam:Mycobacterium smegmatis str. MC2 155, complete genome.